GCUGACUUCAAGAAUGAAGCUGCAGACACUUAUGGACUGGGAGGAGGCCCACGAGAAAAACAGGAAGAACAAGAGAAAGGCUGAGGCUCUAGUGGCUGCUUUGCAGACUUGCAGAGUCCAGGAUCCCCCAGGAACUUCCACUGAUUGCUACCUGUUACCAGUGUUAAAGCCAGGGCACUUUAAGAAGAAUUGCCCAAGCCACAAGAAAAAGCCACCUUGACCACUUUUGUGGUGAAGACCACUGGAGAUUGCACUACUGACCACCAAGACAGAGACACAAUAGCGAAUCUAGAAGUGGAAGUGUGAGAGAUACCUGCAGCUGUUAAGAUGUCUGGGAAUAGACACACAAACUCUCUCUCCCAGAUAAGCAACACAAAGCAGCACAGAGCAACAGAGACUGAAAGUCUGCCUACCUGAUCAGGGAAUAAGAUCUCAGGGAAUUAAAGCAAAAUGAUGUCAUAUGGAUGAGACCUAACCCAACACUACUGCAAUCUUUGAGAAUAGAAGAAGAAGAUUCAAACAACAAAAGAAGAGGAAUAGCCAUUUAAAGACACAGCAAGUAUGCUGCCACCUCAAAUUUGAGAGACAUCUCACAAAGAAACAAAACCAGUCAACAUUAUAAUUCUUCUUCCCUUUUCUCCAGCAUUAUAAAAAGAAUUCCGUUGGGUUGGAGUACAGUGGCUAGAUCUCAGCUAACUGCAACCUCUGCAUCCUGGGUUCAAG
rnacentral:lncRNA from 1 species